UAACUUUGGUUUCUCUUCAGAUCAUAUAAAUCUUUUAUUUUUUACUAUGAUGAUUUCCAUGGAGAAGAAGAACUUUGAGUCCUCAACCAAGUGUUUGAGGCCUUGUUUUGGCAAGGUU
ensembl:snRNA U5 U5 spliceosomal RNA